GUUGAAAUCUAACAUGAAAGAAAAUUAUGAAUAAUUAAAAAAAAAAUAGGGGGCCUAAUCAAUUUGAGGGUGAUUUGUUAUGUAAACAAACACAAAAUAGUAAUGGCGGUCAAGAUGGCGGUUCAAUUAUUUGCCCAAAAUAGCCACGCUAAAUUUCUAGGAUUUCUUCGCAAUCGGCUUUCAGUUUAAGUUGGGGCUUCAUUAAAUAAUUGUUAAAUGUUCAUUGUUAUAAUUAUAAAUUGUUUACACGAAAUAUUUUAUGAAUAAUUUAAUAAAUUUUAAUAAAAUCACGUGACUCCAGCGAAGUCUACGAUUGGUCAGUGGAGAGCGCGGACAUUUCUGAGACGUUUUGAAAAUUUGCCGAGAUGAAAGCCUCAAAAAGAAAUCGGAGAAUUAUAGUUCGCAAAAUUCUUGUCCCCUGUAGUCAUUCUAAACUUGGGGGAAAUGCAUAAAGACUAUAACUCUGUCAAAUUGAAGGGAAUGGCAUGAAAGAAGGAAUUGCGUGGUACAUUCAAAUGGAGGAUCAAUUUUUAUAAGGAGUCCGGAUGAAAAUCGCAACUGUACAGAAAUGAGUAUUUACCCUGGUAAAAGGUCUAUUACUGUGCAGAAAAUUCUGUGGUGCCAAUUGGGUAAAAACUCUAUGAAAGUAAUGAAGAUUACAUGAAUUGCACAUGCAGCAAGUGAAUAAUGUGUGGCCAAAAAAAAGGACAUGAAAUGGAGUAUACUUUCAAUACCUUUACGAUGUCUUUGUGUAUUUACAUUGCAUUAAUUAUGUUUUGUAUAUGCUGAAAAGGUGUGUUUAUUUUUUUCUUGCAAAGAAUGAUAUUACAAAUAUCAUUAUUUUGUUAAAGGUAACAAUAUUAAUUUUUUUUUAAAUAUAGGAGAUUUGUCAUAUAUAGAUUCCGUUUAUAGAGAGGAUUUAAAAUAGUUAUUUUUCAUAUAUAUUUUCAUGUAGCAUCAUAUAAUAAAUUUUUACUUGUUUUUACUUGAACCUGAUAAUUAUUGUUAAAUUCUUCCUUGAUAUAGUCCUGUCCCAUUCACAAGGAAUGAUAAGUAUGUAUUUUUCAUGUUAGGCCAAAAAUUAAAAAAAUUUUGAUGGAGAAAGAAAUUUUUAACUCCAGGGUUUUGUGGUUGAUUUGUCGACAAAAGCCCAUUUUUUGAUAUGCCUAAAAUGUACCUUUUUGUUUAGUUAUGCGGUGUGCCAAUAUUGUGCUUUUUUAGUACCUAAAAUGUGCCUAUUAAUGAUUUUGGUACAAUAUAGGUACCUUGUAGGUAUACUUUUGGUAUACCUCUGGCAUACUUUUGGCACAGCCUUGAAGGUACCUAAUAGAUUGAUAUGUGGGCACUUUUUAGGUAUGCCUGGAAUGUACCUACUGGUCUAGUUAGAUGGUGUGCCAAUAUUGUGCUUUUUUAGUACCUAAAAUGUGCCUAUUAAUGCUUUUGGUACAAUAUAGGUACCUUGUAGGUAUACUUUUGGUAUACCUCUGGCAUACUUUUGGCACAGCCUUGAAGGUACCUAAUAGAUUGAUAUGUAGGCACUUUUUAGGUAUGCCUGGAAUGUACCUACUGGUAUAGUUAGAUGAUGUGCCAAUAUUGUGCUUUUUUAGUACCUAAAAUGUGCCUAUUAAUGCUUUUGGUACAAUAUAGGUACCUUGUAGGUAUACUUUUGGUAUACCUCUGGCAUACUUUUGGCACAGCCUUGAAGGUACCUAAUAGAUUGAUAUGUAGGCACCUUUUAGGUAUACCUAAAAUGUACCUAUCUGACUGUUAGAAUUAUAUGCCAUACUAUGUAUAGGCAUACUUUAGGUAUGCCUCACUGCUCAAUCUAAUGUUUUAUGUGUGCCUAAAAUGUACCUAUAUGUGAAAUAGAAAAAAAUGAAUCAUUGAAAAGUAUACCUUUAGUAUGCCUUUUUUGUACCAAUUUGCUACCUAUACUUGAAGAAGUGGUUCCAAACUUGUAUACUUUAGGUAUACCUUUUUUGUGCCUAUAUUUAUCAAGAAUAGGCAUGCCUAAUCUGUACCUUUUUUUGGUAUGGGUACUUUAA